CUCGCUAGCCCUACCUCGUCUCCCAUCUCCAGUCGCAGCCGCCGCCGCCGCACCCCAAUCCAACCCCGCCGCCGGCGAUCUCCUCGCCCCCCUGCGCCGCCGCCCCCAACCUUCUAUUCCUCUCCCAAGGGAAGGGAAGGGAAGGCAAGGGAAGGGAAGGGAGAGGGAGCACCCAAAUCCACGGCGGCAUCAGCGCGUCGUCGUCGACCUGAUCCGCGUCCGUCCUCGAGGGAGGUCGGCCAUGGAGGUCCGACCCGGCCCGGCAGUAGCCAUGGACGGACGGAGAUGCUCCAAUCCCUACCCUCAAGGACGACGCCUCAACCUUCAAGGACGCGCGCCGGCGACCGCGGAUCUCCGGUGACGGCUAUGGACGACUGCCCCGGAUCUGGACGCACGACCUGCAGCUGCAACAGCAGCUGGACGACCGAACGCACGAGCCCUCCCUCCCUCCCUCAUGGCUCUGCUUCCUCCCCUCCGUCACCGCCGAGGACCAGCUCGCCGCUCUCGCCGCCGUCGCCCGCGCCUGCGCCGGGCUCGUGGCCGCGCGGACCGCGCCCCUCUGCGCCGUGCUCCAGGACCGCUUGAGAAACCGCCGCCGAUCUCGUCGCUACGAUCCGCUUGAGGAGCCGCCGCCGAUCUCGUCGCUACGAUCCGCUUGAGGAGCCGCCGCCGAUCCCCAUCCAGGUCACAGCCGGUAUAGACGUUCUGGCGCCAAGAUCGGCUAUAGUCGGAAAUAGGUAUUAUAUGUACUCCUUUUUCCUCCUUUUUCUAAAAUUAACUAUUUGGAACAGGAGCUGCCACAUCUGCAAGAUCAGUAUCCUGAAAUUCACAAAUCAGCAAUAGCAAGAUCAGCUACACAGGAUCAAUUGACAAAUCAGCAGAUCUAGGUGAGCUACUCCAUUUUGACUAUGGUUGUAACAGUGUCAACAGUAUGAGUAAUUUGACAUCUGUGAUUUACUCCAUCUGCUACUGUACUUUAGUUUAGUUUACUUAUUAAUCAAAAAUCUUAAAGGAGUACUCCAAUUCAUCGUUAAAACAGUUUAUGCAAGCACUAAAGGAACAGUUUCAGUUAAUUCUAAUUAACUAGGAAAGUUUCAGCUAAUUUAAAAAGGAAAAGUUUUAGUUAAUUUUAAUUAAAAGAAGAGAAGAGAAGAGAAUAGCAGAGCAAGCAAUGCUACUGCUCCAAGCUAAUCUGACUGCAGAUCAGAAACUACUGCAAGCAGCUCCAUGAAAAGGAGUAUUUUGGCACUCAACUGCAGAAUACACAAAUCUCUACAGCAAGCUACUCCAAGCAGUACACCAACUAAUGUCACUUCAAGCAGUACUACACCAACUAAGGUCACUUAAAGCAGUAGUACACCAAGAUACAAAUACUGAUGUUACUUAAAGCAGUAAUCUCUUCAGUUAACUAUAGCUACAAAUACUGCAAGCUACUGCCAAUGACCAAGUACUAACACCAAGCUACACCAAGUACUGUAUGAGUACCAUUGAACUACUCCAAUAAGAACUACUAGAUCAUUGAACUACUCCACGGUGCAGUAAUAUAAAUUCAGUUAAGUGCUUUAAAUUUCGUCAAAUUUGAUUAAUGGAAAAGAUUCACCUAGCAAGGUUUAUUUGACAUGGAGUAGUUUAUUUGAUAGGAGUAAACACUAGCAAUAUUUGACAGUAAAAGCAAUAUUGAAUGGAGUAAACAUUAGCACUAAUUGAAAUGAGUAAACACUAGCAAUAUUGACAUGGAGUAGUUUAUUUGACACUAGCAUUACUGCUGAUAAUAGCAACAUUAAUACAUGGAGUAGUUUAUUUGACAGGAGUAAACAAUAGUAACAGGGUGUGUGGUCAAGGGGGUGUGUGUGCUCAGACAAGAAGAGAGCAAGCAAGCAAGCAGUUAACUGAAACUGAAAAAGGGUGUGUGUGCUCAGACAAGGAGGAGAAUUCAGAGAAGAGAAAUUAACUGUAAUUCAAGCAAAAGCAACAGGCAAGCACUGCUGCAAAAUUCAGCACAAUCAGUUGAUUUUUGCUUGCUUUGUCUGCACUUCAAAAUUCAGCACAAUCAGUAGGCAGUACUGCAUAAUUUUAAAAGGAUUUGAAUCCGUCUGUACUUCACCUAAAAUUCACCUAAGAGCUACUGCAAGCAGGUCUACUUGCUUUUGGGGUGUUCUUGCACAAACUGUUUGUCUGCAAUGCCACAUAAGCAUGUGUGCUAAACCUGUCUGUCUAAAGCAAGCAAACACCAAACAAUUUGUCAGCUAAAUCUGUCUGCUCCAAUCUGUUUGUUGAAGUCUACUUGCACAAAUCCGUCUGCUGCUGCUUGCUCCAAGAACAAGAAGAGAAGAGAAGAGCAGUAAUCUUGCACAAAUCUGUCUGCUACUGCUUGCACAAAUCUCUACAAGGUCUACUGCUCCAAGCAAGCAAGCAGCGCAAGAGAAGAUCUGAAGAUGACAGGAGAAGGGGAAAAGGAGACCUUUUUAAUCCGGCGAGCUCCUUGCUGAGCUCCUCCACCCGCAUCUUUGCCUUGAGCGCGUAGCCAUCCGCGGACACGGGGUCUCCGCGUUUCCACCCUGGCGGCACCCAGUACGGGUCGACGCGGAUCUCCCGGCGCAGGGCCGCGAGCUCGUCCGGCUCGAGCCAGUACUCCAUGGCGCCGUCGGCGUUGUGGCAGCGGCAGAUGCGCUCGGCCUCCUCCAUGGCGCCAUCGGUGUGCUUGAGGAUGUGGUCCAGCCACACCACCGCGACGGCCUCCUCCCUAUCUCCCGCAUCCACCGCCUCCGUCGCCAGAUCCAGAGCAGGCGCAUCAAAGCUUGACCUCGGAUGUGGGGUGCGAGUGGACGACGGGUGUGAGUGGAGGCGGGAGAAAGACAGCGGUGACGGGGAGAGCUGGUGGCCGCCUGGCCGGCGAGGUGGGCGAGGUGGUGGCCGGCGAGGUGGCAGUACAGAGGCGAUGGGGAGAAGAGAGGCGACGACUGAGUGGCGAACAGAGGCGAGCGAGUGGCGAACAGAGGCGGCGCGUGGGUAAAAAUGGAAAGUUCAGAAAAUUCGUAACGUAACAGAACUUGUACAGGAUUUCUCCAGCGACAAGUAUUCCGGAACAGAGGGAGUAGUUUAUACACAGUUCAUACAACAUUGCAUGUUCACACAGCCAACAGUGUGCUAUCCAUUGAUGUGUUAUCCAUUAACGCCUCUCUGUCAGACCUCAUGUGUCGCCCCCCUCCAUUCAUCCAUGCAUGAGUAUCAGUUUCAUGGGUUAAUUUAUCACUGCAUAUUAUUAAUUGUGCUUCUGUUUUUGCCUCUUGCCAGCAAGCACGACAAUAACAAGUUUAGAGCCAUCAGUUUCUCAGUACCCUGUUGGUUUCAGUGUUAAAUGGCCACAAGUUUAUUGAUCUAAAUAUGUAAAUCUUUCUUGUUUUGUUUUCAUUUUCAUGCGCUACUCUAUUAGGAAUAACAACUAAAAAACAUUGAAAGUUGGAUUUGAUUUCCUUCCCAACACAAGCAACAAAUAUAAUAAAUGUCUCGCAUCCUUAACUCCGGCAAAAUAUUAAUUGACUGACACAAUGGAUCUGUCUAUUAAUCAAGAGUGUAUUACUAAAACUACAGAUUGAUUGUUUUUUAGUUAUGCAGCAUAUAGUAUUCUCCCCAGUUCUGCUAGAUUGGAUUGUUAGUUCAUGUACUUUGGUAAAUCAUUUUGGAAAUUUUGAUUAGGAAACUAAUUUGUGUUCAUGUUGGUUUAUCUAUGCUCCUUUGUCAUUGAUGCGCCUACUGUACUGUAAUUAUUUAGUUCCUCCGCUUAUAGGAUGAUCUCAGGUUUAGUAGUGAUAUAAAAAAUACAUUUCUGCGUUUUCCCUCUGCAGCUGUGUUGCUACGUCACUUUCUGUUCCUUAUGGUCUGCCACUAUUUGACGUCCUUUUUGUGCUCAAACAUUUCUCGUUGUUCCUUGCAUGAUCCAAAUGAGCUUGGUUACGUACAAAAUUAUUGUGGAGGGUCUCAGGUAAUCGUUGCUGUUGAAGAUUACGCCCUGGUCAUGAUUUUCAUUUUCAAACUUGCCAUUCAUCAGAGGUUUUGGAUGGAGUGCACUCAUGCAUUAUAUUGGAGUAGGAACCUGGCGAGGAGGAGGAUACCAUGGGGAGGCGAACCUGGUAAAAUAGGGGUGAAAGUAGAAUAUAGACUGUAGGUUCGUGUUUUCCUUAUCGAGGACACUGUGAAGGCUUCUAAUGCAGUUUUACAAGAAGCAUCUAUGGAGCUAAUUCAGAGGAGGUGGUUGAACCGGAAAUUCCAACCGACCUAUUGUCGAGAGGUUAAAUUUAGUUGAAGAAGCAAACAAUUAGUUGAAGGAAAAAUAAAAAAAAUUGAGGAGGAGAAGAUGAUAUUGGAGUUGCAUGUUGCGGAUGUCGUCGAUGAUCACAAGAUCAAGAUGGAUGCAAUGCGCUUGAAGAUUAGAAAGAUUAGAAAAUAUGCCAUUCAUACCGAGGCUUGGUAUCAUUAUGCCGUUGGAUCAAUUGUUACCUUGGUUGCGAUUAUGAUCGCAUUUGUUUUCGCAUUGAAAUGUUUUACAUAGUUUCAAUGUAUGGUUUAAUUAAUUAGAUGCUCUGGAGAGCUAUAUAUAUGUUGUUAGAUGAGAACUAUGUAUGUACUUUUGUUUAAUGUGAUGAUGAACUUAUAUUAAUCUGGUC
rnacentral:rRNA from 1 species